CGUCUUAGACCUGCAUCAUUUCGGGCUUUCCUCCAAAAUUAAGCUGACACGCCACGAUAUAACUGGAAUACUGUUAAAAGCGGCGUUAAACCCAACUCACUCACUCACUCACUUGGAAGUCGGCCGGUGUAACAAGAAUUUUGCCCAGUCGGUGAUUGGGACUUCUCAUGUGCUAUUGUAUGAAACACAAAACAAACACUGUCAUAAUUGAAUUCGUUAAAACAAUGUGUUACCAUAGAGAUGAUAUUUUCCAGAAGCGAUUGGAAUUACUAAUGCUUGGAAUGAUUUAACAAUUUUUCCGGAUUUUUAGCGAUUGUUUCAUAAUAACACCCGGAUCACCACAACAUAUUCGGUAUCUAAUAGGGAUGGGUAUUGAAGGUUUAGAGUGCAUCACAAUAUUUUGCAAUGCACAAGGCCGUAUUGCGAUACGCAUCAAGAAAUAUCGUGUAAUUCUAAAUUUUGAAUUGAGAAAAAUCUGAAACAUCAAUGUAUGGAUGGAAAUUCACAAGCAGAACACAAAAGGAUGGUGGUACAACACAAUGUUUACACAUUAAAUAAACAUGCAGCCAUCUUGGGCCCUGGACACAGGCUUCGGGGCAGCGAAGGUAUUUGGCAAGUGUAUAACAUGAGACUCCUGAUAAAGGUCGCUAUUACAAAUCACCCGAUAUACUGACCAUGACCAAAAUAUAUUGUGAUACGUAUCCAGGAAAAAUAUGAACCUCAAUUUACCGAUACACCGGUAAUACCGCGCACCCUAAGUGUCCAAUAUCAUCUACAGUCAUUGCUACAGGUAGGAAUAUAAUCGAAUAAUGAUUAAAAUCGUGAAAUUUCAUAAGGUACAAAUUCGCUUUUUGGGGGUACGAGUCAUCCAGUUGAUUAGGUACGAGUUGUCCAACAUUUGUGUACGAGUCAUCCAGUUGAUUAGGUACGAGUUGUCCCACAUUUGUGUACGAGUCAUCCAGUUGAUUAGGUACGAGUUGUCCGACAUUUGUGUACGAGUCAUCCAGUUGAUUAGGUACGAGUUGUCCCACAUUUGUGUACGAGUCAUCCAGUUGAUUAGGUACGAGUUGUCCAACAUUUGUGUACGAGUCAUCCAGUUGAUUAGGUACGAGUUGUCCAACAUUUGUGUACGAGUCAUCCAGUUGAUUAGGUACGAGUUGUCCAACAUUUGUGUACGAGUCAUCCCGUUGAUUAGGUACGAGUGGGUACGAGUUGUCCCACAUUUGUGUACGAGUCAUCCAGUUGAUUAGGUACGAGUUGUCCGACAUUUGUGUACGAGUCAUCCAGUUGAUUAGGUACGAGUUGUCCAACAUUUGUGUACGAGUCAUCCAGUUGAUUAGGUACGAGUUGUCCAACAUUUGUGUACGAGUCAUCCAGUUGAUUAGGUACGAGUGGGUACGAGUUGUCCAACAUUUGUGUACGAGUCAUCCAGUUGAUUAGGUACGAGUUGUCCAACAUUUGUGUACGAGUCAUCCAGUUGAUUAGGUACAAGUGGGUACGAGUUGUCCAACAUUUGUGUACGAGUCAUCCAGUUGAUUAGGUACGAGUGGGUACGAGUUGUCCAACAUUUGUGUACGAGUCAUCCAGUUGAUUAGGUACAAGUGGGUACGAGUUGUCCAACAUUUGUGUACGAGUCAUCCAGUUGAUUAGGCACGAGUGGGUACGAGUUGUCCCACAUUUGUGUACGAGUCAUCCAGUUGAUUAGGUACGAGUUGUCCCACAUUUGUGUACGAGUCAUCCAGUUGAUUAGGUACGAGUUGUCCAACAUUUGUGUACGAGUCAUCCAGUUGAUUAGGUACGAGUUGUCCAACAUUUGUGUACGAGUCAUCCAGUUGAUUAGGUACGAGUGGGUACGAGUUGUCCAACAUUUGUGUACGAGUCAUCCAGUUGAUUAGGUACGAGUUGUCCAACAUUUGUGUACGAGUCAUCCAGUUGAUUAGGUACAAGUGGGUACGAGUUGUCCAACAUUUGUGUACGAGUCAUCCAGUUGAUUAGGUACGAGUGGGUACGAGUUGUCCAACAUUUGUGUACGAGUCAUCCAGUUGAUUAGGUACAAGUGGGUACGAGUUGUCCAACAUUUGUGUACGAGUCAUCCAGUUGAUUAGGUACAAGUGGGUACGAGUUGUCCAACAUUUGUGUACGAGUCAUCCAGUUGAUUAGGUACAAGUGGGUACGAGUUGUCCAACAUUUGUGUACGAGUCAUCCAGUUGAUUAGGUACAAGUGGGUACGAGUUGUCCAACAUUUGUGUACGAGUCAUCCAGUUGAUUAGGUACGAGUUGUCCAACAUUUGUGUACGAGUCAUCCAGUUGAUUAGGUACGAGUGGGUACGAGUUGUCCCACAUUUGUGUACGAGCCCGCCAAAAGAAAUAUGGGUACCGAUCUCCAUGGAUACGGAAUGACCACGUCCGCGUUAGAUCAUGUAAAUAUUGGGGGAAGACCAACAGUUCACGAAUGUGGUACGGAACGUGGUGACCGGACGUGUGUUUGAAUGUUAUAAUUAUGUGUUAAUGAUCCUUCAUUUAGAGUUGGGUAUUUUUUUAUUACAAUAUUACAUUUAUAUAUAUUAUAUUUUGUAUGUCAUAUACCGGACGUGUGUUGUAAUGUUAUAAUAAUGUGUUAAUGAUCCUUCAUUUAGAGUUGGGUAUUUUUUUUAUUACAAAAUUACAUUUAUGUAUAUUAUAUUUUGUGUGUCAUAUAUUUGUAUGCAGUAUGUGUUAUCAUAUCUCUGGCACGGACGACAAGUCUCUCAAUUGCUUGUUUGGAGUGAGUUUGCUCAUUUUUUAGAAGCCAUUUUAGUAUCAGAUUCAACUGGUAAAAAAAUGUUUUAAUCAACCUAUUGAUAUUAUCAACACUGUGAUGAGUAGUAUGUCAAUAAAACUGUGUUGUUGUCA